CCCGACCUCAGAUCGAG
rnacentral:rRNA from 2 species